GCAAACUUGGUCAUUUAGAGGAAGUAAAAGUCGUAACAAGGUCUCCGUUGGUGAACCAGCGGAGGGAUCAUUACAAGAAGCCGAAAGGCUGCUUAAAACCAUCGUGAACCUAUCCAUCAGCGUUGCUUCGGCGGGAGGAGGCCGCGGGGCUGGCGUCUGCCGGGCCCCGGGGCCGGGAACCCGCACCUUCUCGGGGGUGCGGGUCCGCCCGCCGGAGGUAUGAAACUCUUCUGCAUCUUUAGUGGAAUCUCUGAGUAAGCAAGCAAAUAAGUCAAAACUUUCAACAACGGAUCUCUUGGUUCUGGCAUCGAUGAAGAACGCAGC
rnacentral:misc_RNA from 1 species